rnacentral:sRNA from 1 species
GUAAGUGGGGCCGGGUCGGGUGGGGGCGGCCCGCGGUGUCGCGGCUCCCGGCCUCCUCGUGGUCCGACCUGCGGUUUGGGCCCGCGGCUGGUGGGACCCGGCGACUCCAUAGGCCUCAGUUUCUCCUCUGGUAACGCCAAAAAGCAAAUGGAUUUCCACCUGACAAAUCCUCGGGAUCCAAGAAGCAGAAACAGUAUCAGCGGAUUCGGAAGGAGAAGCCUCAACAACACAACUUCACCCACCGCCUCCUGGCUGCAGCUCUGAAGAGCCACAGCGGGAACAUAUCUUGCAUGGACUUUAGCAGCAAUGGCAAAUACCUGGCCACCUGUGCAGAUGAUCGCACCAUCCGCAUCUGGAGCACCAAGGACUUCCUGCAGCGAGAGCACCGCAGCAUGAGAGCCAACGUGGAGCUGGAUCACGCCACCCUGAGCCUUCAUCGUCUGGCUGGCCAACGGGGACACCCUCCGUGUCUUCAAGAUGACCAAGCGGGAGGAUGGGGGCUAUACCUUCACAGCCACCCCAGAGGACUUCCCUAAAAAGCACAAGGCGCCUGUCAUCG